rnacentral:lncRNA from 13 species
GAGAGCUUCCUGGCCAGCCCAUCGGAGUAACCAGGAGAGAAGCAUCAUCUCAAAUCAUUUAACAUGUUCAGAGAAACUCUAAGCCUGGAGGGUCAGAAGUCCCAGAAAGCACGGGCUGUGGAGGAGAGGCUGCCAGAGGAAAAACAGAAGCACGCAAUCACCCUUUCCUUGACUGCCUGCUUCUGCCUUGAGCAGGCCACGCUGAGGCAAGGAAGAUGCUCUAAGUUGACAUAAAGUCAAGAGUUCCCAUUGUUACACUGCAAGAGAUGUAUUCAUUUCUAACAUUAGUUUUUUUUGUGGCUGAAAGUAAUCGGUAUUUUUUUUUACCUCUUAGAAUGAAUGACAAACUAUGGCGCUUGCCCAAGUUUCAUACAGUCAUGGAGAAGAACUAGCACCACAGGGCAUCUGGUGCCUAUUCCUCAACACAGAUGUAUCUCGAAUAGAUCGCUCCAGAGAGUGAGCUUCUGCUGCUUCAAAACAGCGUGCGGGAAUCGGAGACAUUACAUCAGGAAGUUACUGCAGAGAGAUUCUACUCCAUCUCAUUCAUUGUACAGGUGAGGAAUCCAAGGGUCAGAGAUUUUAAAGGAUUUGUCCAAAGCCACAGAGUGGAGAACUGUGAGUAGAACCCAGAUUUUUGUUGCCUAAUUCAGGUGUUUUCAAUCUCAGUACCUUACAAAUAAGCUAGGAAGGCGUGGCACCCACAUGGAUUUGCUUUCUGGUUGAUAUAUCUCUGUUCCUAGGGCAGGGCUCAGGCGUCAGUCAGUAAACAGGAGGAAGAGACAGAUGUGGCUCUAUCUAUCUAGUGUAUGGGAGCAGUGUGUGACAUUGUGACGAGAUGUGUUAGCACAGGCACAAUUUAAAGCAGUGCCAUGGCAACCGGCAUUCACUCAGGCUCCAGAUAGCACCGUGAUUUACAGGGUGUAGCUGAAAAUGGCUUCUCACCUAGUGAGUGGAAUCUUGCAGCCUCUAUUUCCCUGCAGUGAGUGACUCUAAAAUAUACCAAACAAUGCAGCAACAAGACUGGUCCAACUUCUUUACCAAGAAUUGGGGGUUUUCAACAUAACUCACAGGAGAAAUAAACUCAGCAGCGUUGGGAAUCCCCA